rnacentral:rRNA from 1 species
GACGAACCGAGCGAACGUUGUUCGGAAUCACUGGGCUUAAAGGGCGCGUAGGCGGGUGCUCAAGUCCGUGGUGAAAUCCUCCGGCUCAACCGGAGAACUGCCUCGGAUACUGGGCGUCUCGAGUGUGGUAGGGGUAUGCGGAACUAUCGGUGGAGCGGUGAAAUGCGUUGAUAUCGAUAGGAACUCCGGUGGCGAAGGCGGCAUCCUGGACCAACACUGACACUGAGGAGCGAAAGCCAGGGAGCAAACGGG